rnacentral:rRNA from 1 species
UACGGGGGGGGCAAGCGUUGUUCGGAAUUACUGGGCGUAAAGGGCUCGUAGGUGGCCAACUAAGUCAGACGUGAAAUCCCUCAGCUUAACUGGGGAACUGCGUCUGAUACUGGAUGGCUUGAGAUUGGGAGAGGGAUGCGGAAUUCCAGGUGUAGCGGUGAAAUGCGUAGAUAUUGGGAAGAACACCGGUGGCGAAGGCGGCCAUCUGGCCCACAAUUGACGCUGAGGCGCGAAAGCGUGGGGAGCAAACAGG